AUUGAACGCUGGCGGCAUGCCUUACACAUGCAAGUCGAACGGCAGCGCGGGGCAACCUGGCGGCGAGUGGCGAACGGGUGAGUAAAAUAUCGGAACAUACCCUAGAGUGGGGGAUAACGUAGCGAAAGUUACGCUAAUACCGCAUACGCACUAAGGUGGAAAGUGGGGGAUUCGCAAGAACCUCAUGCUCAUGGAGUGGCCGAUAUCUGAUUAGCUAGUUGGUGAGGUAAAGGCUCACCAAGGCGACGAUCAGUAGCUGGUUUGAGAGAACGACCAGCCACACUGGAACUGAGACACGGUCCAGACUCCUACGGGAGGCAGCAGUGGGGAAUUUUGGACAAUGGGGGGCAACCCUGAUCCAGCAAUGCCGCGUGAGUGAAGAAGGCCUC
rnacentral:rRNA from 1 species